rnacentral:rRNA from 1 species
GACGAACCGUGCGAACGUUACUCGGAAUCACUGGGCUUAAAGAGCACGUAGGCGGCGACAUAAGUCGAACGUGAAAUCCCAUCGGCUCAACCGUGGAACUGCAUUCGAUACUGUGUUGCUUGAGGGAGAACGGGGCAUUCGGAACUUCCGGUGGAGCGGUGAAAUGUGUUGAUAUCGGAAGGAACGCCGGUGGCGAAAGCGGGAUGCUGGGUCUCUUCUGACGCUGAGGUGCGAAAGCUAGGGUAGCGAACGGG